rnacentral:rRNA from 1 species
GGUUAAGCGACUAAGCGUACACGGUGGAUGCCCUGGCAGUCAGAGGCGAUGAAGGGCGUGCUAAUCUGCGAUAAGCGCCGGUAAGGUGAUAUGAACCGUUAUAACCGGCGAUACCCGAAUGGGGAAACCCAGUGUGACUCGUCACACUAUCAUUAACUGAAUCCAUAGGUUAAUGAGGCGAACCGGGGGAACUGAAACAUCUAAGUACCCCGAGGAAAAGAAAUCAACCGAGAUUCCCCCAGUAGCGGCGAGCGAACGGGGAGGAGCCCAGAGCCUGAAUCAGCAUGUGUGUUAGUGGAAGCGUCUGGAAAGGCGCGCGAUACAGGGUGACAGCCCCGUACACAAAAGCGCAUGUGCUGUGAGCUCGAUGAGUAGGGCGGGACACGUGGUAUCCUGUCUGAAUAUGGGGGGACCAUCCUCCAAGGCUAAAUACUCCUGACUGACCGAUAGUGAACCAGUACCGUGAGGGAAAGGCGAAAAGAACCCCGGCGAGGGGAGUGAAAAAGAACCUGAAACCGUGUACGUACAAGCAGUGGGAGCCCCACCACCAAAGCAUUUGCUGUACCGCGUUGACGGAGCGAAGCGACGUCAAACCGAUAAAACAGCAGUGUAAAGUGAGCCGCAGGGCGCUUUGCGCGACAGCGCAAAGGCAGGCGGUUUCGCGUAGCGAAAGCGAAUGCUUUGGGGUGGGGUGACUGCGUACCUUUUGUAUAAUGGGUCAGCGACUUAUAUUCUGUAGCAAGGUUAACCGAAUAGGGGAGCCGGAGGGAAACCGAGUCUUAAUUGGGCGUUAAGUUGCAGGGUAUAGACCCGAAACCCGGUGAUCUAGCCAUGGGCAGGUUGAAGGUUGGGUAACACUAACUGGAGGACCGAACCGACUAAUGUUGAAAAAUUAGCGGAUGACCUGUGGCUGGGGGUGAAAGGCCAAUCAAACCGGGAGAUAGCUGGUUCUCCCCGAAAGCUAUUUAGGUAGCGCCUCGUGAAUUCAUCUCCGGGGGUAGAGCACUGUUUCGGCUAGGGGGCCAUCCCGGCUUACCAACCCGAUGCAAACUGCGAAUACCGGAGAAUGUUAUCACGGGAGACACACGGCGGGUGCUAACGUCCGUCGUGAAGAGGGAAACAACCCAGACCGCCAGCUAAGGUCCCAAAGUCAUGGUUAAGUGGGAAACGAUGUGGGAAGGCCCAGACAGCCAGGAUGUUGGCUUAGAAGCAGCCAUCAUUUAAAGAAAGCGUAAUAGCUCACUGGUCGAGUCGGCCUGCGCGGAAGAUGUAACGGGGCUAAACCAUGCACCGAAGCUGCGGCAGCGACACUGUGUGUUGUUGGGUAGGGGAGCGUUCUGUAAGCCUGUGAAGGUGUGUCGUGAGGCAUGCUGGAGGUAUCAGAAGUGCGAAUGCUGACAUAAGUAACGAUAAAGCGGGUGAAAAGCCCGCUCGCCGGAAGACCAAGGGUUUCUGUCCAACGUUAAUCGGGGCAGGGUGAGUCGACCCCUAAGGCGAGGCCGAAAGGCGUAGUCGAUGGGAAACGGGUUAAUAUUCCCGUACUUGGUGUUACUGCGAAGGGGGGACGGAGAAGGCUAUGUUGGCCGGGCGACGGUUGUCCCGGUUUAAGCGUGUAGGUGUGUGUUCCAGGUAAAUCCGGUUCACUUUAACACUGAGGCGUGACGACGAGGCACUACGGUGCUGAAGCAACAAAUGCCCUGCUUCCAGGAAAAGCCUCUAAGCAUCAGGUAACAUCAAAUCGUACCCCAAACCGACACAGGUGGUCAGGUAGAGAAUACCAAGGCGCUUGAGAGAACUCGGGUGAAGGAACUAGGCAAAAUGGUGCCGUAACUUCGGGAGAAGGCACGCUGACACGUAGGUGAAGUGAUUUACUCAUGGAGCUGAAGUCAGUCGAAGAUACCAGCUGGCUGCAACUGUUUAUUAAAAACACAGCACUGUGCAAACACGAAAGUGGACGUAUACGGUGUGACGCCUGCCCGGUGCCGGAAGGUUAAUUGAUGGGGUCAGCGCAAGCGAAGCUCCUGAUCGAAGCCCCGGUAAACGGCGGCCGUAACUAUAACGGUCCUAAGGUAGCGAAAUUCCUUGUCGGGUAAGUUCCGACCUGCACGAAUGGCGUAAUGAUGGCCAGGCUGUCUCCACCCGAGACUCAGUGAAAUUGAACUCGCUGUGAAGAUGCAGUGUACCCGCGGCAAGACGGAAAGACCCCGUGAACCUUUACUAUAGCUUGACACUGAACAUUGAGCCUUGAUGUGUAGGAUAGGUGGGAGGCUUUGAAGUGUGGACGCCAGUCUGCAUGGAGCCGACCUUGAAAUACCACCCUUUAAUGUUUGAUGUUCUAACGUGGACCCGUUACCCGGGUUGCGGACAGUGUCUGGUGGGUAGUUUGACUGGGGCGGUCUCCUCCUAAAGAGUAACGGAGGAGCACGAAGGUUGGCUAAUCCUGGUCGGACAUCAGGAGGUUAGUGCAAUGGCAUAAGCCAGCUUGACUGCGAGCGUGACGGCGCGAGCAGGUGCGAAAGCAGGUCAUAGUGAUCCGGUGGUUCUGAAUGGAAGGGCCAUCGCUCAACGGAUAAAAGGUACUCCGGGGAUAACAGGCUGAUACCGCCCAAGAGUUCAUAUCGACGGCGGUGUUUGGCACCUCGAUGUCGGCUCAUCACAUCCUGGGGCUGAAGUAGGUCCCAAGGGUAUGGCUGUUCGCCAUUUAAAGUGGUACGCGAGCUGGGUUUAGAACGUCGUGAGACAGUUCGGUCCCUAUCUGCCGUGGGCGCUGGAGAACUGAGGGGGGCUGCUCCUAGUACGAGAGGACCGGAGUGGACGCAUCACUGGUGUUCGGGUUGUCAUGCCAAUGGCACUGCCCGGUAGCUAAAUGCGGAAGAGAUAAGUGCUGAAAGCAUCUAAGCACGAAACUUGCCCCGAGAUGAGUUCUCCCUGAGACUUUAGGUCUCCUGAAGGAACGUUGAAGACGACGACGUUGAUAGGCCGGGUGUGUAAGCGCAGCGAUGCGUUGAGCUAACCGGUACUAAUGAACCGUGAGGCUUAACCUU